rnacentral:rRNA from 1 species
AACCUGCGGAAGGAUCAUUAUUGAAUUUAAUGAGGGGAUAUUUGGUUGUAGCUGGCUCAUGAAUUUGGGCAUGUGCACACCUAUCUCUUUCAUCCACACACACCUGUGCACUUGUGAGGCAGAUGGGGAAUUUAUUGAUUGUUUUUUAAGAACAAUUGGUGCUGGACCCUCUGUCUACUCAAUAUAUAAACUCAAUUUAUUUAGAAAUGAAUGUAAUGGAUGUAACGCAUCUAAUACUAAGUUUCAACAACGGAUCUCUUGGCUCUCGCAUCGAUGAAGAACGCAGCGAAAUGCGAUAAGUAAUGUGAAUUGCAGAAUUCAGUGAAUCAUCGAAUCUUUGAACGCACCUUGCGCUCCUUGGUAUUCCUUGGAGCAUGCCUGUUUGAGUAUCAUGAAAUCUUCAAAGUAAAUCUUUUGUUAACUCAAUUGGUUCUACUUUGGUAUUGGAGGUCUUUGCAGCUUCACACCUGCUCCUCUUCGUUCAUUAGCUGGAUCUCAGUGUUAUGCUUGGUUCCACUCAGCGUGAUAAGUUAUCUAUCGCUGAGGACACUGUAACAGGUGGCCAAGGGAAAUGCAGAUGAACCGCUUCUAAUAGUCCAUUGACUUGGACACUAUUUUUAUGAUCUGAUCUCAAAUCAGGUAG